ACUUGUAGCUCAGUUGGAUAGAGCAACGGCCUUCUAAGCCGUGGGUCGAGGGUUCGAAUCCCCCCAGGUU
rnacentral:tRNA from 1 species